UACGGAAGGGGCAAGCGUUGUUCGGAAUCAUUGGGCGUAAAGGGCGCGUAGGUGGUUCUGUAUAUCUACCGUGAAAGCAUACAGCUCAACUGUAUUUUGUCGGUAGAAACUGCAGGACUUGAGGCUGGGAGGGGCUGGUGGAAUUCCCUGUGUAGCGGUGAAAUGCGUAGAGAUGGGGGAGAACACUCGUGGCGAAGGCGGCCAGCUAGACCAGUUCUGACACUGAGGCGCGACAGCGUGGGGAGCAAACAGG
rnacentral:rRNA from 1 species